CACUCCUGCGGGAGGCAGCAGUGGGGAAUAUUGGACAAUGGGCGCAAGCCUGAUCCAGCCAUGCCGCGUGAGUGAUGAAGGCCCUAGGGUUGUAAAGCUCUUUCACCGGUGAAGAUAAUGACGGUAACCGGAGAAGAAGCCCCGGCUAACUUCGUGCCAGCAGCCGCGGUAAUACGAAGGGGGCUAGCGUUGUUCGGAUUUACUGGGCGUAAAGCGCACGUAGGCGGACUAUUAAGUCAGGGGUGAAAUCCCGGGGCUCAACCCCGGAACUGCCUUUGAUACUGGUAGUCUUGAGUUCGAGAGAGGUGAGUGGAAUUCCGAGUGUAGAGGUGAAAUUCGUAGAUAUUCGGAGGAACACCAGUGGCGAAGGCGGCUCACUGGCUCGAUACUGACGCUGAGGUGCGAAAGCGUGGGGAGCAAACAGGAUUAGAAACUCCAGUAGUCCCAUGAU
rnacentral:rRNA from 1 species